GUGCAGGUUCGUGUGCGACUUACGACUUACGACUUGGGCGACGGGACGGGACGGGCGAGAGGCCGUGGUUUCUCUUACGCGAGUGAGUUAUUUGGUAUGGGCCGGCGACGGAGCAGAUCCAAGCGGUGACCACGCCAAGUCUCGCGAGCGUCUCGGAUCGGAGAAGCUGCAGCCGGAGACCAUGGCGGCAUGAAGUGGGGAGUCUGUCGGCGGCGCUGCACGAGAUGGCCCAGCUGAAGCAUCCAUCCGGUGGCCUCCACUCGGUCAGGUCAGGUCAGCUUGAUGAUUGGUGACAACCCUCACCUCUGAAUCCUCGUCUGCGGCCUUCUGAAGAGUCGAAACAACAAACGGUCAGGAGCCCCCCAACGAUGACCAGGUUGACAAGGUCCCUCAGCUUCCUGUUCUCACCGUACCAUUCGACCAGCCCGGUGAUGUUCUUCACCUUGUCGAGCCUUGCCAUCGAGAAGAUGAUUGGCUUGCUCCUGUCCCCUAGCUCCUCGAUUUGGGGGUGCAAGUCUGUCAGCCGUGCCUGCUUUUGUGUGAAGGGGAAGUAAACGGAUUGAUCAGCACCAGGGGCGGCGAUGUUGAACUUGGGAUCGAAGACGUUGACGCCUGUGGCGUAGCGACACAGCCCUGGCAUUGUGAAGGCGUAGUGGCUCUCAUACUGGCCAGUUUAUGUAGUGACCGACCUUCCGGCUAUUUCUUGGUAGGUGCUAGCGAUGAUGAAGUCGCUAGUGUUCAUGGCGAUCAUGUCGGCAGUGAACUGGCAGGAGAAAUGGAUUUCGUUUCGAUAGCUCAUUUUCACCUGGGUGACCCCGAGUUUGCUCGACAAGAGGGAUGCUACUAGAUUGCCGUCGGUGUAAUUGCCGAUGACCAUGUCUGGCUUCCCCUCCAGAAUGUCGAGAAUCUUGACAGAAGAAUCCUGAAACCACCACGAUGAAGGUAAGGAUAAAUGUCAAACCGGGAGACCCACUGGCGAAGAUCUUUCCCAUCAUCAGUUUUGAAUGGCACACGGAGGAUGCUCGAGUGCUUCGUGUGCUCGACUGGUUCAAGCUCAACGUUGCACUUGGUGCCCUUUGCGUCCGGUAUGAGUCUUGUUAACUGCAAGAUGUUCGAGCAGCUGUCAGAUGCCCCCUCCCUGGACUGUUAGGCCAUGGUAGUUUAAUGAAGGCGGUCAAAGCUUACCACAAGAAUCUUCGGGGUAACAUUCAGGCCCUGCUUCCUGAUUCUUUGCAGAAGUUCCUCUUCAAGAGCUCUAACUUGGUCCAGGAUGUAAACCACCUGUCAAGGAAAGACUGAAAUGUUGGCUUCUGUUUCAAGCAUUGAGACCUGUGGAUUUAGGGUUAUAUCUUCCAUUAUCAUUCUGGGAUAAUGAUCGCUGUACCUGACCGCCGGUAUCUGGCAACCCAAGGACCUUCUCUUGACCAAAGUAACCGUGGAUGGAGAAGAUGACGAUGUUGAACACCGACGGCACCCUGCUGAAGAACUUCUCCAUGUUGAUCGGAUCCGGUGCCUGGAGCACUUCCGAGAGGAAGUUGAGUGUUUCUCUGCAUGUUUCAGCAGUGUCACCCCACCCCUUCUCCAAACCCCACUCCUGAAACCUGCAACAGCCGGCGACCAUAUCAUCGGUCGAUCAGGCCGGCGACGAAGACCUCGGCGAGAAGCAACGCCGUCUGAAGCUUGUCGGCGGUGUCGAGGGUGUCGCUGAUCAUCAGUUUCUGCAGGAAAGUGAGGAAAGGACCAGCUCAUUCUACCAUCGGCACUGACCAUGCCGAAUGGAACGAUCAAUCAACAUGCAUGCAUGCUUAGUUGUUGCAUACCUCGCCGCGGUGGUUCAGAUUUAGCAGGUAGUCCAGCAGCGGCUUCAUGCUCUCCGGCUUGCCGCUCAGCUUCGAGGACAUGAACCGGGAGACGAACUGCAUCCCGUUGCCGAUGGACGACGGCAGCGUCAGACGAGGCGUGGAGAGGUCCAGCGCGCCGAAAUCGACCUCCAGCGAGUUGUCGUCGCGCGCCCUGAAGAACACAACAGCAGCAGGCAAUCAAGUUUGGGUUCUGAUAUGUUUUCUCAUCAGGUUUCUUUCUUUCUUUCUUGUAUGUGUGAAUGAAUUGAUGACGCGGUACCAUUUUUCGUCGUAGAGGGUCUCCUUGCACUUGAGGUAAGCGGACGGCGUGAUCUCCUCGGCGGAGAGGUCCCCGGAGUGGACCCUGAUGAACUCCCAGACGCCGGGGUUGGUCCGGACGGCGAAGGCGACGAGGGGAGGGAGCACGACGGCCUCCUGCGUGGAGCAGAUGACGUAGCCGAGGAAGCCGUCGGCGAGCCUGGCCUUGUCGACCUUGUCGUCGCCCGCCGACGCCUCCAGCUCCUCCGUCAGCUGCUGGUUCUUCAUCAGCCUCCGGCCCUUGGAGACAUACCUGCAGAGCAAGGAAGGAUCCGCUCCAUCAUGCAUGUGGGUGUUUGCAUACAUUUCAGAGAAAGAAAGAAAGGAAGAAAGGAGUGUUUGUGUUUGUGUUGUUGUGGUACCUCUGGAAGCACGUCUUCAUCUGGUAGCGGCUCUGGCGCAGCGCCUCGGGCAUCAUGUCGGCGACGCUGUCGGACCGCCUGAGGGGCAUGUAGGAGGAGGAGGAGGAGGCCAUGGCUGCGCCGCGGUGGAGAUGGUUUGGCUUGGUGAUGAUCCUGGCAUGAAUGGUGGCAGGUUUAUAGGCUGGGAGAUGGAGGUGGAAGCAAGCUAACUAAUUAUGCUCUCCUCUGUCUUUGUCUGUCUCUUUCAGAGGAGGGGAAGAAGAUGAAAGGCAAGAGAGGAAGGAGAGGAAGCAAAGGAAAGGAGGAGGAUGGGUGACACUUUAAGCAAGGCAUUUAUUUUGUUCCCCUUGUUAAUUAAUCAAUUUGUUUACAUCUUAUAGUUAUGCCAUGCAAGAUAAGAUUCGGUUUAAUUCA